rnacentral:rRNA from 1 species
AGAGUUUGAUCAUGGCUCAGAUUGAACGCUGACGGUAUGCUUAACACAUGCAAGUCGAACGGCAACACGAGUAAGCUUGCUUACUUGGUGGCAAGUGGCGGACGGGUGAGUAAUACGUAGGAAUCUGCCCUAAAGUGGGGGACAACCCGGGGAAACUCGGGCUAAUACCGCAUAACCUCUUUGGAGCAAAGUCGGGGACCUUCGGGCCUGACGCUUUAGGAUGAGCCUACGUCGGAUUAGCUAGUUGGUAGGGUAAAGGCCUACCAAGGCAACGAUCCGUAGCUGGUCUGAGAGGACGACCAGCCACACUGGGACUGAGAUACGGCCCAGACUCCUACGGGAGGCAGCAGUGGGGAAUAUUGGACAAUGGGGGCAACCCUGAUCCAGCAAUACCGUGUGUGUGAAGAAGGCCUUCGGGUUGUAAAGCACUUUUAGUGGGGAAAAAUGGCUUAAGACUAAUACUCUUAAGAAGUGAUGUUACCCACAGAAAAAGCACCGGCUAACUCUGUGCCAGCAGCCGCGGUAAUACAGAGGGUGCAAGCGUUAAUCGGAAUUACUGGGCGUAAAGCGCUCGUAGGUGGAUAUCUAAGUCGGAUGUGAAAUCCCCGGGCUUAACCUGGGAACUGCAUUCGAGACUGGAUGUCUAGAGUAUGGUAGAGGAAAGUGGAAUUCCCGGUGUAGCGGUGAAAUGCGUAGAUAUCGGGAAGAACACCAGUGGCGAGGCGGCUUUCUGGACCAAUACUGACACUGAGGAGCGAAAGCGUGGGGAGCAAACAGGAUUAGAGACCCUGGUAGUCCACGCUGUAAACGAUGAGAACUGGGCGUUGGGAAGCUUGUCUUCUUAGUGCCGAAGCUAACGCGUUAAGUUCUCCGCCUGGGGGAGUACGACCGCAAGGUUAAAACUU